rnacentral:rRNA from 1 species
AACGUAGGAGGCGAGCGUUAUCCGGAUUUACUGGGUGUAAAGCGCGUGCAGGCGGCUCGAUAAGUUGGAUGUGAAAGCUCCUGGCUCAACUGGGAGAGGUCGUUCAAGACUGUCGGGCUUGAGGAUGGUAGGGGAAGGUGGAAUUCCGGGUGUAGUGGUGAAAUGCGUAGAUAUCCGGAGGAACACCAGUGGCGAAGGCGGCCUUCUGGACCAUUACUGACGCUCAGACGCGAAAGCUAGGGUAGCAAACGGGAUUAGAGACCCCGGUAGUCCUAGCCGUAAACGAUGUGAACUUGGCGCCUGGCGAGUAAAAUCGUUGGGUGCCGAAGCAAACGCGAUAAGUUCACCACCUGGGGACUACGGCCGCAAGGUUAAA